rnacentral:tRNA from 1 species
GGUCUGGUGGUCUAGUGGUAUGAUUCUCGCUUAGGGUACACCCUCAAGUUCAGCUUGCGAGAGGUCCCGGGUUCAAUCCCCGGCCAGACCC